rnacentral:rRNA from 1 species
AUUGAACGCUGGCGGCAGGCUUAACACAUGCAAGUCGAGCGGAGUGAUGGUGCUUGCACUAUCACUUAGCGGCGGACGGGUGAGUAAUGCUUAGGAAUCUGCCUAUUAGUGGGGGACAACAUCUCGAAAGGGAUGCUAAUACCGCAUACGUCCUACGGGAGAAAGCAGGGGAUCUUUAUGACCUUGCGCUAAUAGAUGAGCCUAAGUCGGAUUAGCUAGUUGGUGGGGUAAAGGCCUACCAAGGCGACGAUCUGUAGCGGGUCUGAGAGGAUGAUCCGCCACACUGGGACUGAGACACGGCCCAGACUCCUACGGGAGGCAGCAGUGGGGAAUAUUGGACAAUGGGGGGAACCCUGAUCCAGCCAUGCCGCGUGUGUGAAGAAGGCCUUAUGGUUGUAAAGCACUUUAAGCGAGGAGGAGGCUUACCUAGUUAAUACCUGGGAUAAGUGGACGUUACUCGCAGAAUAAGCACCGGCUAACUCUGUGCCAGCCGCCGCGGUAA